rnacentral:rRNA from 9 species
AAAUUGAAGAGUUUGAUCAUGGCUCAGAUUGAACGCUGGCGGCAGGCCUAACACAUGCAAGUCGAACGGUAACAGGAAGCAGCUUGCUGCUUUGCUGACGAGUGGCGGACGGGUGAGUAAUGUCUGGGAAACUGCCUGAUGGAGGGGGAUAACUACUGGAAACGGUGGCUAAUACCGCAUAACGUCGCAAGACCAAAGAGGGGGACCUUCGGGCCUCUUGCCAUCAGAUGUGCCCAGAUGGGAUUAGCUUGUUGGUGAGGUAACGGCUCACCAAGGCGACGAUCCCUAGCUGGUCUGAGAGGAUGACCAGCCACACUGGAACUGAGACACGGUCCAGACUCCUACGGGAGGCAGCAGUGGGGAAUAUUGCACAAUGGGCGCAAGCCUGAUGCAGCCAUGCCGCGUGUAUGAAGAAGGCCUUCGGGUUGUAAAGUACUUUCAGCGGGGAGGAAGGUGUUGUGGUUAAUAACCACAGCAAUUGACGUUACCCGCAGAAGAAGCACCGGCUAACUCCGUGCCAGCAGCCGCGGUAAUACGGAGGGUGCAAGCGUUAAUCGGAAUUACUGGGCGUAAAGCGCACGCAGGCGGUCUGUCAAGUCGGAUGUGAAAUCCCCGGGCUCAACCUGGGAACUGCAUUCGAAACUGGCAGGCUUGAGUCUUGUAGAGGGGGGUAGAAUUCCAGGUGUAGCGGUGAAAUGCGUAGAGAUCUGGAGGAAUACCGGUGGCGAAGGCGGCCCCCUGGACAAAGACUGACGCUCAGGUGCGAAAGCGUGGGGAGCAAACAGGAUUAGAUACCCUGGUAGUCCACGCCGUAAACGAUGUCUACUUGGAGGUUGUGCCCUUGAGGCGUGGCUUCCGGAGCUAACGCGUUAAGUAGACCGCCUGGGGAGUACGGCCGCAAGGUUAAAACUCAAAUGAAUUGACGGGGGCCCGCACAAGCGGUGGAGCAUGUGGUUUAAUUCGAUGCAACGCGAAGAACCUUACCUGGUCUUGACAUCCAC